CUCCACUGGAAAGCUUUGCCAGCGAGGCUGCUGCUGUCCACUGCAGCUGCCAGAGCAGGAGAAGCAGGCUUCCUGCUGCACAGGCUCUGCACCAUCUACAGCUUCACGAGCUGAAACCCAGGCCAUAAACUGGCCCUUUGGAAAUGAGGAAGCUGCUGUGAAAGGUGCUGUGCAAAUACAUGCUUGAUUAUCAACACUGUUGUCAAGCACAGGGUUCCAUUUCUGGUCUGGUCCAGUUUCCAAGGACAAGCACACAAAAAGAAUCCCAAGUUUCAGGAUGGAAAUGUUCACUGAAAAGUACAAUGAAACAGAACCUUACAAAGGGAAAAAUAUCCCCUUGAAAAUAAUUUAGGCUGCAAUAAGAGCAACACGAACAAGAGAAGAUAAGCUGCUACACUGUACCAGACUCUUCACAGGGUAUGUACUUAGUCUGGCUUUGGGAUACUUACCUUUGAGGAAAUGUUCCUUACAGAAAGGAUCCAGGGGAGAGCUAAAUGACCCCUGGAAAGAGGGACUUAAGCAUGACAAGGAAAAUGAUGGUAUUUUUAACAUUUUGGGGGACACAAGGGGGCGGUAGAAAUUGGGGAAAGAAGAUGCUUUAAAGAAAGCAAGCACCAGAAAUAAUUUCAAAACUAAUAAUCCUACUGAGAAAUGCAUAUAGAGGUGGUUUUAUCCCCUAACAUGAAAUGGCCAGAGUUGUUCUUUUAAAUUUAUUUAUUACACUGGAUUUGCACACAUCACGUUUUGAGGAUUUCCACUUCCAGCACUUCAGAAGGAUUAGUUGGUUAUGAAAAAAAAAUCCAAGAAUGAUCCAUGGUAACACAGAAAGUGAA